AGUUGGUUCCUAUCCUCCAGAGAAAAGGAUCAAACUAAAGAUGGACAGCUAUAGAACAGAAUACUUUCCUCCACAAGCUACCACAGGUGCAGAGCCAAGCAGUGAACAACGUCGGCUAGAGAGUGAAUUUUAGUAGCUAGAAGCAUGAAUUUUGUGUGUUCAUUAGACAAGCUCUUUUCUUUCUAUUUGAAGCUGAUGUGUCUUAUGUUUUAUUACAUCAUUGUUUUGGGUCAUUGAAUUAACUUGCCACCUUUUAAAGCAGACGUAUAAUGUAUUCCUCAGUUGUGUUUGUGUUUGGAGACAUGGAAAGGUGAUAAGAAUUUCCAUUAACUCUUCUGAGCUUCUGUCAGGAGGAUGGGCUUCUGCAUACUGCCUGUGGAACUCCAAACUAUGUAGCGCCUGAGGUGCUCGCUGAUAAAGGCUAUGAUGGUAUGGCUGCAGAUGUAUGGUCCUGUGGCAUAAUCUUGUUUGUUCUUAUGGCUGGAUACUUACCCUUUGAUGAUGCCAAUCUGAUGAGACUGUACAAACUGAUCUGCCAUGCAACUUUUUCUUACCCACCAUGGUUUUCUUUUGGAGCAAGGAAGUUUAUUAAGCGCAUUCUCGAUCCUAACCCUGAUACCAGGAUAAAAAUUGCAGAAUUUUUGGAAGAUGAAUGGUUCAAAAAAGGCUAUAAACCACCACAUUUUGAACAAGGCGAAGAUGUUAACCUUGACGACGUUGAUGCUGCACUCAUUGAUUCAGAGGUAUUAUAUAGACCAAAUGUUCAUUUUGAAUCUACGACUAUCUUGAAAAUCUCCCUAGAAAUAUUACGUGCUUUAAAAGCAUUUUUACAUUCUAUUUUAUGUUCACAUUAUCAUUCAUGAGGCAACUUGUUUACUGCAACCGCCAUCACUUGCAGGGCUGGAAAUCUGGUGCUGUAACUACUUUAGGCCAAGGUGGUAGCGACUUGAUUACUACAACCAUUGGUAAAGCCUUGGGACCGAGAGAAAUUUAUGUCUAUGUUUAGUCUGAAUAGAUAUUUAAUAAACCAUAUUUUUCUUUCUGAGGAAAAAAGUUGAGACAACAGUUGAUGCUAAUCACUAAGCUAGCAUGUGCAUUUCAUGAAAAUCGUUGCUUAUCCCCAUACAUUGCCUAAUUGGUCUGAAAGCAUACUGUGCUUGUGAUAGGUAUGGAUCGACGAGAUGGGUUGCUUGUCCCCAUACAUAUUUUUUCUUUUGUUUUGUCACUAAUGAAUCUUUGUACAAAUUAUAUUUUAAAUGCUCAAGAAAAGAGUUCUGGAACUAAACAACGGUACAGGAUAUUCAUCCUUAUUACACGUGUAUUUUGAGCAGGCUGCUUCUCAGUGAAUAAACGAAUCUUUCAGUUGCAUACUUCUCAAAAACGAAAGAUCAUGUUCAGUAGAUAAACAUAUGUUCCCUUUUUACCUUUCAAAGCUAUAUUUAUUGUUGCUUGGCAUUUGCUUUACUAACCAUCAUGAAUUGAACAUAUAGCUCAUGAUGUCAGUCUCCUGAACAGAAGCGAGAAAUUUAGGAUCGUUAUUAUGGACUGUUCACUUUAAUGCAGGUUUUGCAUCCACAAUCAAUGAGACCUGAUAGAGAAGGUGAUAUUCCAGUUAGGGUUAAGAAUUCAUACAACCCUAAAGCUCCAGGAACCCUAUUUGCUACUGCCGAGCAAUGUAGUGCUGCUGUAACACUGAGGAUGUUGUACUAACAUGACAUCAUAUUAAAAAGAUUUUGAGAGCAAUAUUUCUCGGCCUU